ACAUGCCUACAACAUAGAAUUAAUGCACAGGAUCCUAUUAGAACUCCAUAGUUAAGCAUGCUUGGGAUAGAGUAGUAUUGGGAUGGAUGACUGUCCAAGAAGUUUUAUUGUUUUACAUGCC
rnacentral:rRNA from 1 species